AUGGUCGACAACACCAGAAUGAAGGAGCUUGCAGCUAAGGUUAAACGCCAAGGUGAAGUUCUGGAGAAGAACGAACAAUGCAAGCUCUCAAUGUCACCCAUGGAAGCACGAACUCAGUGUCUCAUGCAUCAACCAUAUCUCACUCAUCAUCGUCGGGACCUGCUGCUCCAACACCUCCAUUUCAUGUUCGCAACAUUAAGCUGGAAUUUCCAAGGUUUAAUGGUAAUAAUGUACUCGGUUGGAUUUUUAAGGCUGAACAGUUUUUUGGUUAUUAUCAUACUCCAGAUCCAGAGAGAUUGA